GGUUGACGAGCUGACGGAGCGGAUUAGUUCAUGCUCAGGAAUAGAUAAACUAACAAAGAAGGGAGAGUUCCAGUUUCUGGACUUGGUGUUUGAUGUCCUUGUUCCAGAGGUGACAAUAAAAGUGUUGGAAAAAUGGGAGUGGAUGAAUCGAUAUACAGCUGAGAAAGCCAUGCAUCAGCAAAUUCAUUUGUACCCAAAAUAAAAUGGUUGUGAAAUUAA